AGUGAACGCUGGCGGUAGGUCUAACACAUGCAAGUCGAACGGCAGCACAGUAAGAGCUUGCUCUUACGGGUGGCGAGUGGCGGACGGGUGAGGAAUACAUCGGAAUCUACUUUUUCGUGGGGGAUAACGUAGGGAAACUUACGCUAAUACCGCAUACGACCUACGGGUGAAAGCAGGGGAUCUUCGGACCUUGCGCGAUUGAAUGAGCCGAUGUCGGAUUAGCUAGUUGGCGGGGUAAAGGCCCACCAAGGCGACGAUCCGUAGCUGGUCUGAGAGGAUGAUCAGCCACACUGGAACUGAGACACGGUCCAGACUCCUACGGGAGGCAGUAGUGGGGAAUAUUGGACAAUGGGCGCAAGCCUGAUCCAGCCAUACCGCGUGGGUGAAGAAGGCCUUCGGGUUGUAAAGCCCUUUUGUUGGGAAAGAAAAGCAGCAGGUUAAUACCCCGCUGUUCUGACGGUACCCAAAGAAUAAGCACCGGCUAACUUCGUG
rnacentral:rRNA from 1 species